CAGUUCGGAUCGCAGGCUGNAACCCGCCUGCGUGAAGUCGGAAUCGCUAGUAGUCGCGGAUCAGCAUGCCGCGGUGAAUACGUUCCCGGGCCUUGUACACACCGCCCGUCACACCAUGAGAGUCGGGAACACCCGAAGUCCGUAGCCUAACCGCAAGGAGGGCGCGGCCGAAGGUGGGUUCGAUAAUUGGGGUGAAGUCGUAACAAGGUACC
rnacentral:rRNA from 1 species